rnacentral:rRNA from 1 species
AUUAGUGGCGAACGGGUGAGUAACACGUGGGCAAUCUGCCCUGCACUCUGGGACAAGCCCUGGAAACGGGGUCUAAUACCGGAUACUGAUCGCCUUGGGCAUCCUUGGUGAUCGAAAGCUCCGGCGGUGCAGGAUGAGCCCGCGGCCUAUCAGCUUGUUGGUGAGGUAAUGGCUCACCAAGGCGACGACGGGUAGCCGGCCUGAGAGGGCGACCGGCCACACUGGGACUGAGACACGGCCCAGACUCCUACGGGAGGCAGCAGUGGGGAAUAUUGCACAAUGGGCGAAAGCCUGAUGCAGCGACGCCGCGUGAGGGAUGACGGCCUUCGGGUUGUAAACCUCUUUCAGCAGGGAAGAAGCGAAAGUGACGGUACCUGCAGAAGAAGCGCCGGCUAACUACGUGCCAGCAGCCGCGGUAAUACGUAGGGCGCGAGCGUUGUCCGGAAUUAUUGGGCGUAAAGAGCUCGUAGGCGGCUUGUCGCGUCGGUUGU